rnacentral:lncRNA from 1 species
CCCGGUGUUUACGCAGCGUCCCAGCGGUCCACAGCGCCUGGGAGGUUUGCGGGCGCCAUCGUGUGGUCGACAUGAAUACUGCUGCCCGAAGUUUUCGGGAGGCUGCAAGCAGGGACCUUGCACCGAGCUCCCCGAAAAGCUGCGCCAGGCUAGGGGUCCCAGCAGCGCAAGCGAGCUCUCUCGUUAGAAGAGAUUGAGGAUGAGCUGGGUUUGGGGCAGUGGCCACGAUCUCAUCAUGACAGCCGCAGUAACUCAGCGACGCGGCAGCCGAACCCGCUCCAGCGUCUCACUCGGCCGCAUUUCCUUCCUGCGGGAGGCUGAGGCAGGAGCCUUCCCUGGUGUGCAGAGAUGGCUUUCCCAGAGAAGCAUGUGCCUGUGCCACGGGGAACCCAGUGGAGAGCACCGGGCCAAGGGAUGCUUUCAAAAUGCUAUUCUCUACCGACGUCGUUCUGAGGUGCAUAUCUUAGACCAAAAUAGAAGGAAUCAUUAACAAUA